AAAGACAGCCACAUUUAUAAUUCAUUUGGAGCUUUAUUCUGUCAGCUAUUAUUUACUUCAGAAAAUUGAAAAUAAUGUUUCUUGGCUUGAUUGGCAAACUAUGGUCCAAUUUAAACUCUUUCAUAAUGUAGUCAUUCAGCUGGCGUAUUAUACAAUCGAGGGUGUAAACAGGGAACAAUAUCAAAAAAAUUCCGGCUAAACCAAGAGUCCACUCAUAUUGAAGAAUCAACAGACGCAAUCGGUGGGUGAGUUUGUAAAGUAAUCCAAGAGCAUUCAAUGGAAAUUCAGUGCCUUAGUGUACGAGCCGCAAAUAUAUGAUUCUUCGAAUUUCUUGGUUGACUUUAUAUCAUAAUGAUUAGUAAUUAUGUCAAUAUUCUUUCUAGGCAAUCCCCCUAGUUUAAAGAAACACAUUUUAACACAUACGACCUAAAAAUAAACUUCACCGAAUAAAUUUAAAUUUCGACCGAUCGACGAAAUCUUGAGGCAUCGAUAAAAAAACAAUGUCUAUAAGAGCGUACAUUUAUAAAUGUGGCUCCAAAGAUCUUUCAAACAAAUUCUAUCCAAAGAUUUACUUUCGUGUGGUACAAAAAUUAGAGGCACGCAGUUACACAUGUUUCAGCUUGGAAUACUAAAAACGUUCAGCAGCUGUACCAAAAUUUUAGCAAAAACUAAUCAUAAUAAUGUGAUUAAACUAAAUAAAUUGCAUCAACAUUUUCGAGAGUUUUUUAAUCGCUUAACUAAGUAUUGUUUGUAGACGCGUCAAAAACGGAAAUUUAUAAAGAAAAUUACGCCUUAUUUUCAACUUUUUCUUUGAUAAUCCGUUAUUUUGGUUUUGUCGAUUACGUUCCGGUAAUAUAAGCAGUGUUUCGAUUGGCCGGGAGCUAAACCUUGUAUCGAUGGAGAACGAGUUAACGCAAAAAAUACUCGCUUCUGAAUCACAACCAAAUUGAACCAAUUUUGAAGCGGAUCGUUAAUGAUGAUGAAAAGUAAAUGACUUAUGACAACGACAAUCGAAAACGGUAGUGAACGUAUCGCAAUGAGCCAUGGCAAGCUGUGAACAAGCCACGAACGACGCUCGAUAAAUUCUGCUAUGUGUAUGAUGGGAUUGACAGGGAAUUACCAGUGCUUCGUCAGAAGAUACAAGAGCUUGGUUGGGAUUUUCCUAUGCUUUUUAAGAAGGCAGUUCUAACCGGCCAGCUGUGUCGAUGAGCCUUCAUUUUCACGGCUCAUUGAAUUAUGGCAUUCAGACAGCUAACGGAAAUAGAACGGUAUGCAUAAAGAAUUCCACUCGAGCAUGUUGGUUUGUAAAUGUGCGUAAGUAAAGGCAAAGGAAAUCAAAAUCACGUUCAUUCAUUUGUCAGAUGAGCAGAAAAAAAUUAGAGUACAUUCCUUACGCAUGUACACACACACACACACACAUACAGACAUGUACAUGAGAUAAUAAUGCCAACGAUUGCAAUAAAGCCAGGCGAAGCAAAACGCAGAGAGUUCUUCAAAUCUGAUUGCUGUUGCUAGGCAACUUAGUAAACUAUGUGCCUGUUGUUGAUGUUUUUAUAUAAAUCUGAGUGUAGUAAAUACAUAAUUUCAUGCGUAGUUCUUAUUUCGUUAGGCAGUGGGAAAAUGUCUUCAAUCACUUUUGUAAAGAUGAAAAGUACAUAAGUCAGUAGGAAAGCAUGAAGGGGAGAUUAAAAUCAAGUUUUCUUUGCUUUUUUUAAAUCAAAGCUAGUAAUUAGUUCAUGGCGUACUCAAAGGCGUAUUAGCAGCUUAAAAGAGUUUUUUUUUUUUAAUUCACCAUUUGAAGUAAAAAGAAAAUACUGCUGUAUAGGAUUGCUAUUUCUAAGAAACAUUCGAUAUCCCUUUUAAUUAGUCUAUUUUUUGUAUUUUCUAGGCUAUUAAUUGCCAAUUUUUUCAAGUCUUUAUAUGAACACGACAAAUUUCUAC